UACAGAGGUGGCAAGCGUUGUCCGGAAUUACUGGGCGUAAAGAGCUCGUAGGUGGUUUGUCGCGUUGUUCGUGAAAACUCACAGCUCAACUGUGGGCGUGCGGGCGAUACGGGCAGACUUGAGUACUGCAGGGGAGACUGGAAUUCCUGGUGUAGCGGUGGAAUGCGCAGAUAUCAGGAGGAACACCGGUGGCGAAGGCGGGUCUCUGGGCAGUAACUGACGCUGAGGAGCGAAAGCGUGGGGAGCGAACAGG
rnacentral:rRNA from 1 species